rnacentral:rRNA from 1 species
AGAGUUUGAUCCUGGCUCAGGACGAACGCUGGCGGCGUGCUUAACACAUGCAAGUCGAACGGGGUGUUUAUUUCGGUAAACACCAAGUGGCGAACGGGUGAGUAACGCGUAAGCAAUCUACCUUCAAGAUGGGGACAACACUUCGAAAGGGGUGCUAAUACCGAAUGAAUGUAAGAGUAUCGCAUGAGACACUUACUAAAGGAGGCCUCUGACAUAAGCUUCCGCUUGAAGAUGAGCUUGCGUCUGAUUAGCUAGUUGGUGAGGGUAAAGGCCCACCAAGGCGAUGAUCAGUAGCCGGUCUGAGAGGAUGAACGGCCACAUUGGGACUGAGACACGGCCCAGACUCCUACGGGAGGCAGCAGUGGGGAAUCUUCCGCAAUGGGCGAAAGCCUGACGGAGCAACGCCGCGUGAACGAUGAAGGUCUUAGGAUCGUAAAGUUCUGUUGUUAGGGACGAAGGGUAAGAAUCAUAAUAAGGUUUUUAUUUGACGGUACCUAACGAGGAAGCCACGGCUAACUACGUGCCAGCAGCCGCGGUAAUACGUAGGCGGCAAGCGUUGUCCGGAAUUAUUGGGCGUAAAGGGAGCGCAGGCGGGAAACUAAGCGGAUCUUAAAAGUGCGGGGCUCAACCCCGUGAUGGGGUCCGAACUGGUUUUCUUGAGUGCAGGAGAGGAAAGCGGAAUUCCCAGUGUAGCGGUGAAAUGCGUAGAUAUUGGGAAGAACACCAGUGGCGAAGGCGGCUUUCUGGACUGUAACUGACGCUGAGGCUCGAAAGCUAGGGUAGCGAACGGGAUUAGAUACCCCGGUAGUCCUAGCCGUAAACGAUGGAUACUAGGUGUGGGAGGUAUCGACCCCUUCCGUGCCGGAGUUAACGCAAUAAGUAUCCCGCCUGGGGAGUACGACCGCAAGGUUGAAACUCAA